ACGGAGGAUGCAAGCGUUAUCCGGAAUCAUUGGGCGUAAAGGGCGUGUAGGCGGUUUGUUAAGUCAUGUGUGAAAUCCCUCGGCUCAACCGGGGAACGACGCAUGAAACUGGCAAGCUAGAGUACCAAAGAGGGUGGUGGAAUUCCCGGUGUAGCGGUGAAAUGCGUAGAUAUCUGGAGGAACACCGGUGGCGAAGGCGACAUCCUGGACCGGUAUUGACGCUGAGGCGCGAAAGCCAGGGGAGCAAACGGGA
rnacentral:rRNA from 1 species